rnacentral:lncRNA from 1 species
CCGUGGAGGUGUUUGAGUGGAGGCAGAAUUCUGAAGAGAGUGGGAUGAGUGUAGACAGUUUGGAGUGUUUGAGGGGUAUGGGGAAGUGUGGGAGUGAAUUUAGGGAUAGAAUGACUUAAUUGAGGGAUUUAGGGGGAAGUGGGGAUUGAGUAGAAUCCUAUGCUUUCAAAAAAUUUCUAUUUUUCAGAAAAAAGGUGAGCAAACGUCCCCCUCCUCUUCUUGGCCGAAUCUUCCCCUCUCAAUCUUUUUUUUUCCUUUUUUUCUUCUUUUUCACCUUUUUUUUGUCAAUCAAAAAUCCUCCACUUGCUGCCAUUGUUUUCAAAAUUCGUU